rnacentral:rRNA from 1 species
UACGAAGGGGGCUAGCGUUGCUCGGAAUCACUGGGCGUAAAGCGCACGUAGGCGGACUCUUAAGUCGGUGGUGAAAUCCUGGAGCUCAACUCCAGAACUGCCUUCGAUACUGGGAGUCUUGAGUCCGGGAGAGGUGAGUGGAACUGCGAGUGUAGAGGUGAAAUUCGUAGAUAUUCGCAAGAACACCAGUGGCGAAGGCGGCUUGACUGGUCCGGUUCUGACGCUGAGGCGCGAAAGCGUGGGGAGCAA